rnacentral:rRNA from 1 species
CACGUAGUUAGCCGGGGCUUCUUGGUCAGGUACUGUCAUUUUCUUCCCUGCUGAUGGAGCUUUACAUACCGAAAUACUUCUUCACUCACGCGGCGUCGCUGCAUCAGGGUUUCCCCCAUUGUGCAAUAUCCCCCACUGCUGCCUCCCGUAGGAGUUUGGGCCGUGUCUCAGUCCCAAUGUGGCCGUCCGCCCUCUCAGGCCGGCUACUGAUCGUCGCUUUGGUAGGCCGUUACCCUGCCAACUGGCUAAUCAGACGCGGGUCCAUCAUAUACCACCGGAGUUUUUCACACCGGGGCAUGCGCCCCUGUGCGCUUAUGCGGUAUUAGCACCUAUUUCUAAGUGUUAUCCCCCUGUAUAUGGCAGGUUACCCACGCGUUACUCACCCGUCCGCCACUAGGGCGUGAAAAGUUUGAAGUCUAGUAAACUAUCCCUCUCGCACAUCACGCCCCCGUUCGACUUGCAUGUGUUAAGCACGCCGCCAGCGUUCAUCCUGAGCCAGGAUCAAACU